GACGAACGCUGGCGGCGUGCUUAACACAUGCAAGUCGAACGGAAAGGCCCUUCUUUUGGGGGUUGCUCGACUGACGAACGGGUGAGUAGCAAGUGAGUAACCUUCGCUUGAGGGUGGGAUAACUUCAGGAAGCGGGGGCUAAGACCGGAUAGGAGCUCCUGCUGCAUGGUGGGGGUUGGAUAGGUUCGGCGGUUGGGGAUUGGCUCGCGGCUUAUCAGCUGGUUGGUGGGGGAGUGGCUUACCAAGGCUUGGACGGGUAGCCGGCCUGAGGGGGUGACCGGCACCCUUGGGACUGAGUUCCGGCCCGGACCCCUACGGGAGCAAGCAGUGGGGAAUAUUGAACAAUGGGCGGAAGCCUGAGGAAGAACCGCCGCGUGGGGAAUGACGGCUUUCGGUUUGUAAACGCCUUUAGCCGGGGAGGAGGCGGGAGUGACGGUAACGGGUAAAGAAGCACCGGCUAACUACGUG
rnacentral:rRNA from 1 species